rnacentral:rRNA from 1 species
CCUACGGGAGGCAGCAGUGGGGAAUAUUGGAUAAUGGGCGAAAGCCUGAUCCAGCAAUGCCGCGUGAGUGAUGAAGGCCUUAGGGUUGUAAAGCUCUUUUACCAGGGAUGAUAAUGACAGUACCUGGAGAAUAAGCUCCGGCUAACUCCGUGCCAGCAGCCGCGGUAAUACGGAGGGAGCUAGCGUUGUUCGGAAUUACUGGGCGUAAAGCGUACGUAGGCGGUUAUUCAAGUCAGAGGUGAAAGCCUGGAGCUCAACUCCAGAACUGCCUUUGAAACUAGAUAGCUAGAAUCUUGGAGAGGUGAGUGGAAUUCCGAGUGUAGAGGUGAAAUUCGUAGAUAUUCGGAAGAACACCAGUGGCGAAGGCGACUCACUGGACAAGUAUUGACGCUGAGGUACGAAAGCGUGGGGAGCAAACAGGAUUAGAUACCCUGGUAGUCCACGCCGUAAACGAUGAUAACUAGCUGUUCGGGCUCUACGAGCUUGAGUGGCGCAGCUACGACAUUAAGUUAGUCCGUCCGUCGGGAGGUACGGUCGCGAGAAGUUAAACGUAACGUAAAGUUAAGUUAGUACGCGUUGAGAGNGCGACGGACGACGACGAGGGAGGAGG